rnacentral:misc_RNA from 1 species
GCAAAAUGUUGCUCUUGAUUUAGCUCGGCGGGAGGCCGAAAUGGCAAUUCGCGCUCGUAAUGACUUUCUAUCCGUCAUGAACCAUGAAAUGCGGACUCCUAUGCAUGCGAUUAUCGCCUUGUCUUCGGUACUUCUGGAAACUGAACUAACUCCAGAACAGCGACUAAUGGUCGAAACCAUGCUGAAGAGUAGCAACCUGUUAGCCACUCUAAUAAACGACGUUUUAGAUCUUUCGAAACUCGAGGAUGGGAGCCUUGAGUUGGUGAUGGAAGUUUUCAAUCUUCAUGCUGUUUUCAGAGAGGUCAUUAAUUUAAUAAAGCCAAUAGCAGCUGUCAAAAAGCUCUCGGUUUCGAUAACAUUGGCACCUGACUUACCAUUGUGUGCUAUCGGUGAUGAAAAAAGGCUCAUGCAGAUUAUUUUAAAUGUUGGCAGCAAUGCUGUUAAAUUCACAAAGCAGGGC